UAGAAGCGCUGGAGUAUGAAAUGCUCUUUUUCAUCCACAAAGCAAGUGCAGCACAUGCAGCAGCAGUGCAAACUUCUCUAUGUGGACUGCCAAUAAACUUCCACCCUCAGCAGAAAAAAUACACCUUUACGGUUAAGGGCUUGUCUAUACAUUAAAGUUAUUCUCCAGAACAAGGCA
rnacentral:sRNA from 1 species